ensembl:Y_RNA Y_RNA Y RNA
GGCUGGUCCGAAGGUAGUGAGUUAUAUCGAUUGUUCAGUUACAGGUCUAACUCCUUAUUCUCUUUCCUCCCUUCUCACUACUGCAUUUGACUAAUCUUUA